rnacentral:rRNA from 1 species
AACGAACGCUGGCGGCAUGCCUAACACAUGCAAGUCGAACGAGACCUUCGGGUCUAGUGGCGCACGGGUGCGUAACGCGUGGGAACCUGCCUUUAGGUUCGGAAUAACUCAGAGAAAUUUGAGCUAAUACCGGAUGAUGUCUUCGGACCAAAGAUUUAUCGCCUUUAGAUGGGCCCGCGUUGGAUUAGCUAGUUGGAGGGGUAAAGGCCUACCAAGGCGACGAUCCAUAGCUGGUCUGAGAGGAUGAUCAGCCACACUGGGACUGAGACACGGCCCAGACUCCUACGGGAGGCAGCAGUGGGGAAUAUUGGACAAUGGGCGAAAGCCUGAUCCAGCAAUGCCGCGUGAGUGAUGAAGGCCUUAGGGUUGUAAAGCUCUUUUACCCGAGAUGAUAAUGACAGUAUCGGGAGAAUAAGCUCCGGCUAACUCCGUG